rnacentral:rRNA from 1 species
AUUGAACGCUAGCGGGAUGCCUUACACAUGCAAGUCGAACGGCAGCACGGACUUCGGUCUGGUGGCGAGUGGCGAACGGGUGAGUAAUGUAUCGGAACGUGCCUAGUAGCGGGGGAUAACUACGCGAAAGCGUAGCUAAUACCGCAUACGCCCUACGGGGGAAAGCAGGGGAUCGCAAGACCUUGCACUAUUAGAGCGGCCGAUAUCGGAUUAGCUAGUUGGUGGGGUAACGGCUCACCAAGGCGACGAUCCGUAGCUGGUUUGAGAGGACGACCAGUCACACUGGGACUGAGACACGGCCCAGACUCCUACGGGAGGCAGCAGUGGGGAAUUUUGGACAAUGGGGGAAACCCUGAUCCAGCCAUCCCGCGUGUGCGAUGAAGGCCUUCGGGUUGUAAAGCACUUUUGGCAGGAAAGAAACGUCAUGGGUUAAUACCCCGUGAAACUGACGGUACCUGCAGAAUAAGCACCGGCUAACUACGUGCCAGCAGCCGCGGUAAUACGUAGGGUGCAAGCGUUAAUCGGAAUUACUGGGCGUAAAGCGUGCGCAGGCGGUUCGGAAAGAAAGAUGUGAAAUCCCAGAGCUUAACUUUGGAACUGCAUUUUUAACUACCGAGCUAGAGUGUGUCAGAGGGAGGUGGAAUUCCGCGUGUAGCAGUGAAAUGCGUAGAUAUGCGGAGGAACACCGAUGGCGAAGGCAGCCUCCUGGGAUAACACUGACGCUCAUGCACGAAAGCGUGGGGAGCAAACAGG